rnacentral:rRNA from 1 species
GAAAGUAAACAAGGGCGCAUGGAGGAUGCCUAGGCUCUCGGAGGCGAAGAAGGACGUGAUAAGCUGCGAAAAGUUACGGUAAGGCGCAAAUAGCCGUAGACCCGUAAAUAUCCGAAUGGGGCAACCCGGCCAGCAAUGGCCAUACCGCCAAGCGGUAAGCCAACGCGGGGAACUGAAACAUCUUAGUACCCGCAGGAAAAGAAAAUAACAAUGAUUCCCCCAGUAGUGGCGAGCGAACGCGGAACAGCCCAAACCACUCGUGUUACGGCACGGGUGGGGUAGAAGGAUCCACGAUACGGCAAGAAAUAAGUUAGCGGAAUACGAUGGAAAUCGUAGCCAAAGACGGUGACAGCCCGGUACGCGAAAACGGACAGAAGCCCAGUGGACACCUGAGUAACCCAGGACACGAGAAAUCCGGGGCGAAUCAGCGGGGCCCAUCCCGUAAGGCUAAAUACUCCCGAGAGACCGAUAGCGAACCAGUACUGUGAAGGAAAGGUGAAAAGAACCUCGAACAGAGGAGUGAAAAAGACCCUGAAACCAUGCGCCUACAAGCGGUCGGAGCAUGUUAAAAUGUGACGGCGUGCCUUUUGCAUAAUGAACCUACGAGUUACUCUCGCUGGCAAGGUUAAGCGAUUCAGUCGCGCAGCCGAAGCGAAAGCAAGUCCGAACAAGGCGUACAGUCAGCGGGAGUAGACGCGAAACCAAGUGAUCUACCCUUGGUCAGGUUGAAGGUUGGGUAACACCAACUGGAGGACCGCACCGAUAAGCGUUGAAAAGCUUACGGAUGAACUGAGGGUAGGAGUGAAAGGCCAAUCAAACUUGGAGAUAGCUCGUACUCCCCGAAAUGCAUUUAGGUGCAGCCUCGAAGCAGAGUGAUAGAGGUAGAGCGACUGAUAAGAUGCGAGGGCUUCACCGCCUAUCAAGUCUUGACAAACUCCGAAUACUAUCACUUGAUCUUUGGGAGUGAGGGCAUGGGUGCUAAGGUCCAUGUCCGAAAGAGGAACAACUCAGACCACCGGCUAAGGUCCCGAAAUAAGGGCUAAGUUGAACAAACGAAGUAAAACUGCAAAGACAGCUAGGAUGUUGGCUUGGAAGCAGCCAUUCAUUUAAAGAGUGCGUAACAGCUCACUAGUCGAGGAGUUUUGCAUGGAUAAUAAUCGGGCAUAAGCCCUUUACCGAAGCUGUGGAUGUCGUAAGACAUGGUAGGGGAGCAUUCCGGCGGCGACGAAGGCCGUCCUCGAGGACGACUGGAGCUUUCGGAAAAGCAAAUGUAGGUAUAAGUAACGAUAAAGGGGGCGCGAAACCCCCUCGCCAUAAGACUAAGGAUUCCUGAUCAACGCUAAUCGGAUCAGGGUAAGUCGGGCCCUAAGGCGCAGCCGAACGGCGCAGCCGAUGGAAGAAACGGUAAAAAUUCCGUUACUGGAUAUAGGAGCGAUGUGGAGACGGAGAAGUGACACACCCGCCUGCCGACGGAAGCGCAGGUUAAAGGAAGUAGGUAAACGCCGGGCAGGCAAAUCCGCCUGGCGUGCCGAAGCUGACAGUAUCGAGAGCCCCCGGGCAAUCGAAUAGCGGUGGUAAUCAGGCUCCCAAGAAAAUCCGCUAAGCAUAUUCUAUAUUCACCCGUACCCCAAACGGACACACGUAGUCGGGUAGAAUAUACCAAGGCGCUCGAAAGACUCACGGUUAAGGAACUAGGCAAAUUGACCCUGUAACCUCGGGAAAAAGGGUCCCCAGUAAGAUGGGGCGCAGAGAAUAGGUCCAGGCAACUGUUUAACAAAAACACAGGGCUGUGCAAAAUUUGAAGAUGAAGUAUACAGCCUGACACCUGCCCGGUGCCGGAAGGUUAAGAGGAGAGCUAAUCGCAAGAGAAGGCUUGAAUUGAAGCCCCGGUAAACGGCGGCCGUAACUAUAACGGUCCUAAGGUAGCGAAAUUCCUUGUCGG